GUGGGGUAACGGCCUACCAAGGCGACGACGGGUAGCCGGCCUGAGAGGGCGACCGGCCACACUGGGACUGAGACACGGCCCAGACUCCUACGGGAGGCAGCAGUGGGGAAUAUUGCGCAAUGGGCGAAAGCCUGACGCAGCGACGCCGCGUGGGGGAUGAAGGCCUUCGGGUUGUAAACCCCUUUCAGCAGGGACGAAGCGAAAGUGACGGUACCUGCAGAAGAAGCGCCGGCUAACUACGUGCCAGCAGCCGCGGUAACACGUAGGGCGCAAGCGUUGUCCGGAAUUAUUGGGCGUAAAGAGCUCGUAGGCGGUCUGUUGCGUCCGCUGUGAAAACUCGGGGCUUAACCCCGAGCCUGCAGUGGAUACGGGCAGACUAGAGGUAGGUAGGGGAGAAUGGAAUUCCCGGUGUAGCGGUGAAAUGCGCAGAUAUCGGGAGGAACACCGGUGGCGAAGGCGGUUCUCUGGGCCUUACCUGACGCUGAGGAGCGAAAGCGUGGGGAGCGAACAGGAUUAGAUACCCUGGUAGUCCACGCCGUAAACGUUGGGCGCUAGGUGUGGGAUCCUUCCACGGAUUCCGUGCCGCAGCUAACGCAUUAAGCG
rnacentral:rRNA from 1 species